AGAUCCUAACAAAGUACCUGGAUUAGAGAUAUUAAAGGACAUGAACAGCCUGAGAAUAUUGACACAUAAUCUGGAUUCGGAUGGAAUCUGAAUUUUUUAACAGAACUGUUAUCUUAGUUGCCACGAUGGUAUCAAAUUAUCCUGAAUUAAAUGGUCAAGCUGAAAAGAGAUAUAAACCAAAGAUAUCCUGAAGCAGACUUUUGAAUGAAAUUGGCUAUCAAGUUCUGUACUUUUCCCGUCAUUCAAUAUAUUGUCCUAUAUUCAACAAUUGGAGAUGUUCCACUGAAUAAUAAUUUAAAAUAUGUCUCAACAGUUUCCAUACAGAUAUAUAUGAGAAUUUACAAUACAAUAAGAACAUACAUUGCCUUGGAGGCUGCUAUCAAAUCAGGCUACACUUACUUGGGUGUAGGAACAUAAAGCCCAAUUAAGGGUGGGGAUUGUCUUUUGUUUGUAUUCAUUGCUAUUGAGUGAUUGACAUGUUAAUCUAUAUUCUAUUCUUUGCUAAUUUUUGCCAUAAGGUUUACUCUUGACUAGAAAUUAUCGAGGUGGACCGAAGUAUAUUACUAAUACUAUUAUAAAGAGAAUGAUAAGAAAUGGGUAGAUUUUAGUAGUCAAUUUUUUCAGGACAUCCUUGGCCCAGAUUUCUUUUCAAGCCUGACCAAUUAUGUGCAGAAGAGGUAAUAGAGGUAAUAAUCUUCUAUUAAAUGUUCUUUUUGUCUGUAAAGAUAAUUUUUUGUCGGCAAAACAAUUACCAGUGACAUGUUUCUCAAUAUUUCAAACAAACAACUGAGAGUUCUUUCUUAUAACUAAAUCAUCCUACCUAAACUUGUCCAAAGCAUACUUACUACAGCUUUCCAAUCAACAGAGAUAGAAUUCUCAGUUCUCCUCAUCUAUACUUCAUCUUUUUUUCUGGUCCCAUAAAUACAGGUAGAACCUUAAAGAGUCCCAGUGAAGAAAGAGUCUUUGUUCUUUUCACCAUUAAAAAAGUUAAGAACAAGAUUCAUUUUCUUUGAUGUUUUAGCAUCCCUUCUUGUAGUGACCCCUUUCUGAAUAGCCAUGAAUUUUUUACAAACAUCCUUUAAUCCAUUUAUUGUUCCAUCAAUCAACUGAAAUAAAUUUUGUUUGUGAAAUGGCAAACAUCCAGGAAGUUGUUCAAUAUGAGAUGGAAAAGUACAAUUACUUAUGUAGAUUAUAAAUUCUUACCAGCAGGCACAAUAAGGUUUUAUGGGAGAAACAUUAUAAGGUUUUAUAGAAAAGACAUUACAAAGUAAUUUAACAAAUCUUAAUUACUAUUGAAAUCACUUUUUAAAAACCCACCAAAAACUGAUUUGAAUAAAGGGAAUAAAAGCAUUUAUCAAGUGAUAUUAGAUUCUUAUCAUUUGGUUAAGUAGAUUUUUUAUUUAUUUUAAUAAACUAGUUUGCAGAAUUAACAGAAAAAGGAGAUGAAACUUUUAUUGUCCUUUAUUAAGCAUAUAUUUUGUGAUGCAGAUUUUAGACAAAGCAUGAUCUCAAUCCUCACAAUAGAGAUAAAGACUAGGAGUAGGUGACUCCCUGGUGAGGAAACUCCCAUUACAAAAUCAGUUCAUCACCUUUUCUACAACUUAAAGAACUGUCUAUCUUUUCAACAAUGAGAUGAUUGAAGCCAGUUCCAAUGAUCUUGGGAUGAGGAGGCAUCUAUACCCAGAGAGAGGACUGUGGGAACUGAGUAUGGAUCACAUCAUAACAUUUUCAUUCUUUUUGUUGUUGUUUGCUUGUAUUUUGUUUAUAUACAUAUAUGUAUAUUAUAUGUGUUAUACAAUAUACAUAUAUGUAUAUAAACAAAAUAUAAUAUACAUAUAUAUUUAGCACAUUUAACAUAUAUUGGAUUGCUUGCCAUCUAGGGGAGGAGAUGGGGAAAGGAGGGAUUUGAAACACAAGGUUUUGCAAAAGUCAAUGUUGAAAAAUUAUCCACGCAUAUGUUUUGUAAAUAAAAAGCUUUAAUAAUUGCCUAUAUCACUGAGAAAUUAAAUGACUUGCCCAGAGA